rnacentral:rRNA from 1 species
CCCAGACUCCUACGGGAGGCAGCAGUGGGGAAUAUUGCACAAUGGGGGAAACCCUGAUGCAGCGACGCCGCGUGAGUGAAGAAGUAUUUCGGUAUGUAAAGCUCUAUCAGCAGGGAAGAAAAUGACGGUACCUGAUUAAGAAGCCCCGGCUAACUACGUGCCAGCAGCCGCGGUAAUACGUAGGGGGCAAGCGUUAUCCGGAUUUACUGGGUGUAAAGGGAGCGUAGACGGCAGCACAAGUCUGGAGUGAAAUGCCGGGGCUUAACCCCGGAACUGCUUUGGAAACUGUGCAGCUAGAGUGCAGGAGGGGGGGGCGGAAUUCCUAGUGUAGCGGUGAAAUGCGUAGAUAUUAGGAGGAACACCGGCGGCGAAGGCGGCCCACUGGACGGUAACUGACGUUGAGGCUCGAAAGCGUGGGGAGCAAACAGGAUUAGAUACCCGUGUAACA